rnacentral:rRNA from 2 species
AAAGUCUGAUGGAGCAACGCCGCGUGAGUGAAGAAGGGUUUCGGCUCGUAAAACUCUGUUGUUAAAGAAGAACAUAUCUGAGAGUAACUGUUCAGGUAUUGACGGUAUUUAACCAGAAAGCCACGGCUAACUACGUGCCAGCAGCCGCGGUAAUACGUAGGUGGCAAGCGUUGUCCGGAUUUAUUGGGCGUAAAGCGAGCGCAGGCGGUUUUUUAAGUCUGAUGUGAAAGCCUUCGGCUCAACCGAAGAAGUGCAUCGGAAACAGGGAAACUUGAGUGCAGAAGAGGACAGUGGAACUCCAUGUGUAGCGGUGAAAUGCGUAGAUAUAUGGAAGAACACCAGUGGCGAAGGCGGCAGUCUGGUCUGUAACUGACGCUGAGGCUCGAAAGUAUGGGUAGCAAACAGGAUUAGAUACCCUGGUAGUCCAUACCGUAAACGAUGAAUGCUAAGUGUUGGAAGGUUUCCGCCCUUCAGUGCUGCAGCUAACGCAUUAAGCAUUCCGCCUGGGGAGUACGGCCGCAAGGCUGAAACUCAAAGGAAUUGACGGGGGCCCGCACAAGGGUGGAGCAUGUGGUUUAAUUCGAAGC